rnacentral:rRNA from 1 species
GUAGGCGGCUAAGUAAGCAAAUAGUGAAAGAGUGUGGCUUAACCAUACGCACAUUGUUUGAACUGCUUUGGCUAGAGAACGGAAGAGGUAGCUGGAAUUACUAGUGGAGGAGUAAUAUCCGUAGAUAUUAGUAAGAACACCAAUGGCGAAGGCAGGCUACUGGUCCGUUUCUGACGCUCAGGCACGAAAGCGUAGGUAGCAAACAGGAUUAGAUACCCUGGUAGUCUACGCCGUAAACGAUGGAUACUAGCAUUCGGAGGUGUCGACCCCUUCGGUAGCGAAGCUAACGCGUUAAGUAUCCCGCCUGUGUAGUACGAGCGCAAGCUUAAAACAUAAAGGAAUUGACGGGGACCCGCACAAGCGGUGGAGCGUGUUCUUUAAUUCGAGGAUAAGCGAAGAACCUUACCAGGACUUGACAUCCUUGGAAUCUUUGGGAAACUAGAGAGUGCCUUCGGGAAUCAAGUGACAGGUGCUGCAUGGCCGUCGUCAGCUCGUGUCGUGAGAUGUUGGGUUAAGUCCCGCAACGAGCGCAACCCCUAUGUUUAGUUGGAUUUUUCUAGGCAGACUGCCUCGGUAACGGGGAGGAAGGAGGGGAUGACGUCUGGUCUUUAUGGCCCUUAUGUCCUGGGCUAGAAACGCGCUACAAUGGCCGGUACAAUGGGCAACAGCGAAAUCGCGAGAUGGAGCAAAUCCCACCAAAGCCGGUCUCAGUUCGGAUAGCAGGCUGAAACUCGCCUGCUUGAAGUCGGAAUCGCUAGUAACCGUAGGUCAGCACACUACGGUGAAUACGUUCCCGGGUCUUGUACACACUGCCCGUCAAGCUAUGGGAGUCACCAAUACCCAAAGUCACACAUUCGUGGGCCUAAGGUAGGGGGGAUGACUGGAGUU